AUCGAUCUCCAUUCGUUUCCGUUACAGAGCGGUAGAAGAAUGAAGACAGCCAGACUUCAAUUUCAGUCAUCGAUUUGAGCGUCUAAUUUGUGUCAAAAUGCACACAAUUCAAAUGCUGUGCUUUGUCGACUCACAGUUGAGUUGAACGAAGCUUAAUUGAUUGAUCGAAAAAAUAUACAUUAUUUCUUAAUGCAGAAGCAGUCCAACAAGCUGCUACUAUUGAUGAAGCCGAAGCGGAGACAAGAAAAGCUACUUCAUCAGUUCCAUUUGGAUUUCUAAGGUACAUUGCAAGUGGAAUUUUGAAAUUUGAAUAACACACUGUUAGUUAUUUUUGAAAACAAUGAACCAGUAUCACACUUCUAACAGCAUCUCCUCACCGGUGUAGAUACCAAAACAACUAAUAAACAUAAUGUCAAACUCAACUGAAACACGACAAUCAUUCCCACUAAUCGGUACAACAACGAAACAUAAAGAAUUUCUCCAUAGUCCGACCAUCUGUGUACUUUUGGAAAGCUAGGGACCAAAUCCAAAAUUUUAAUGAACAAAAGGGACCAUCCGUGUACGUUACUCUUAAUAAUAAGUUACAACUGAACUUUUGAAAAAUGCUACUAAGUGAAAGAAGUUAGUUACCCAAUGUAAUAUAUAUCGAUCAAUGCUGUCCACCAAUAAAUCUAGCGUCCAAGAUUCAUCCUUCCAUAAUGCUUCCUCUUUCAUGCUAGUGAAAGGGUAAGCGUCAUUUCUCCAAAUCCAGACCAUAUGGAGCGCGUUUAGUGAUGUCACUCUGCCUUGUGGAUCUAACGCUACUAAAAUCGGCUUUUUCUCAAAGUGCCACACUUUCUUGACGUACUUAAUGACUGCCGGUUCUAGCAACGUAGGGUGAUGCAGCAUAUGCCACGUCAUCAUUGAUUGAAGCUGCUCAAGUUUGUGUUGAUGUAUAUCAUUCCACGCCAUCAGAUCGUCCACAAUCGGGACCCACACAACUUCGUAUUGAAGACCAGGUUGUAUUCUCGAGUCUUUGUAGAUUUGAGUGAGGACCAAAAUCUCUUCAUGGGAGAUGUCAAGGUCUGAUAUGAGCAGCAACACAGUCUUUUUCCUUAGCACAUCCACAUUAACCUGUUUUAGUCAUAAGAAGGAAUUAAACCAAUUAAUCAUUUCAUUGGUUUACGAAUAUAUAAUUAAAGAACAAAAAGAGUAAAAUUCCAAACCUCAGGGACAAAAAUGACAUUUUACUCGAAUAAAAAAUAUAAAAAUGGAUUUUUAAACUAACCCUUGUUUUCGACGAUCCAUCAAGAAGCGGAUGAAUAUCAUCCUUGGCACAAAACAAAGCCUUGAGAAUCUUCAAGUUGUCUAAGUGAGACACAUCAAAGAUUCGUACAAGCAUGAGAUAAUAUUCAUCAUGUUGCUUCUCCUCUGCAGCAACAUUACGUACGAACAUUAAUUUUUUUUUUGAGUAUUUUAAGGAUCAUUAAACAUUAAAACUACAAAAAGAUGUUAAACACCUACCUAUGUUUUUCAUGCAAAGGAGGAGGAGUGAUUUAAGAUGCUCAUGAAUAUUCUGAACCUUGUGAGCCAAGCUUGAAAGUUCCCAUGCCUCUGAGGUAGCUGUGAUAUACCUGAAUUUAUCAUAUAACACAUUAUAUCUUUAAAUAAUUUU
rnacentral:lncRNA from 1 species